rnacentral:rRNA from 1 species
UACGAAGGGGGCGAGCGUUGUUCGGAAUCACUGGGCGUAAAGGGUGCGUAGGCGGGUCUUUAAGUCAGGGGUGAAAUCCUGGAGCUCAACUCCAGAACUGCCUUUGAUACUGAAGAUCUUGAGUUCGGGAGAGGUGAGUGGAACUGCGAGUGUAGAGGUGAAAUUCGUAGAUAUUCGCAAGAACACCAGUGGCGAAGGCGGCUCACUGGCCCGAUACUGACGCUGAGGCACGAAAGCGUGGGGAGCAAACAGG